rnacentral:rRNA from 1 species
AAAUUGAAGAGUUUGAUCAUGGCUCAGAUUGAACGCUGGCGGCAGGCCUAACACAUGCAAGUCGAGCGGAAACGAGUUGUCUGAACCUUCGGGGGACGAUAACGGCGUCGAGCGGCGGACGGGUGAGUAAUGCCUAGGAAAUUGCCCUGAUGUGGGGGAUAACCAUUGGAAACGAUGGCUAAUACCGCAUGAUGCCUACGGGCCAAAGAGGGGGACCUUCGGGCCUCUCGCGUCAGGAUAUGCCUAGGUGGGAUUAGCUAGUUGGUGAGGUAAGGGCUCACCAAGGCGACGAUCCCUAGCUGGUCUGAGAGGAUGAUCAGCCACACUGGAACUGAGACACGGUCCAGACUCCUACGGGAGGCAGCAGUGGGGAAUAUUGCACAAUGGGCGCAAGCCUGAUGCAGCCAUGCCGCGUGUGUGAAGAAGGCCUUCGGGUUGUAAAGCACUUUCAGUCGUGAGGAAGGUAGUUGCGUUAAUAGCGU